CUUCCCCAGCUGGAGUUCACUCAGAGAGAAAGAGUCCAUGAAGGCCUGAGCGAUGACUGACAGGCAGCCGUCCAGAUGCGGGGUCUUCUCCAUGUCGAAAACAAACUGAGGGUUUUUGAGGAUGUUGAUCCAGAAGCGCAGAGGCAAACUGUAAAAGGACAAGGUAAGAAAACACAUGUUAGGAUUUUUAUUCCUCUUCCUAUUAACAGAUGUGGUUCUGAUGACUCAGCAGUACCUGUUGGUCUUCCAGAUGUGCAGCACAUCAGGGUCUGUGAUCUUCAAGUUCUCUGCCUGAGUGUCCAGGAAGUCAAAGAAAUAUUUGACAGCAUGUGGGGCUCGACAGUGCGGCAUCCCCCAGAUAGAUCUGAACAGGUUCUCCACAUAUGAAUGAACGGCCACCUUCAAGAGAAAGGAUGAGAUUAGACCAUGUUUGAUGGCUGCUGUCGUAGCCCUCGCUGUAUUUUUAAAAGUUAAUCUUUAUCUGGGAAAAAGCUUUCAAAGGAUUUGGCUGAAAUAGCUGCCAUUUAUUUUGAUACCGGUGAGUGUACGGUGGUGUUAAUACCACAAGGUGGCGCCAAAUGUACUAACAGCCUCGGAUAAAGGGUCUAAAGUGCAGUACAUGGGGAAAAAAAAUGGGUGUAGCAAACUAAAAAACAUCAUGUUAGUGAAGUUCAAACUUAUCGUGUAUACAGGGGGUUAAAAGUUUUAAAAUCUGCUCAGUCUAAAGCAAAACAAAAUACACUAGAAAUGCAACAAAAGCUGCUGCACACAGUCGAAAUAAACACUAAAGAGAGCCUCUGUUAGUGUUGGUGCACUUCUGGGUGAAAUGACUGUGACUGCUUCCUCUUGCCUUAGUGGAGAGCAGCUUGGUGAGGUGCACUUCCUUUAGUUUUAACUUCUUCCUCUCUGGGCUCUUGUUCUCGUCCUCUUCUACAUCAGGAUCAAUCUAAAAAUGAAAAGAAAAUACAAAUAAAUGAUUAAUUUAACCAGGUUGGUCUAAUUGAGAUUAAAAAUAACCUUUUCAGGGCAGAUCUGGCAAAGACCAGAAAACACCAUCCUGAAAAAUCUUCGACGUCUUUCAUUUUGACUUCCAGACUAAGGGCGCAGACUACCCAAAAGCCCUGUCACCAAUUUCUGUUUGAGCUUUUAAUCAUUAAAUCGAUGCAAAUCUAAAUCUCAAUUUGUCUCUUACCAGGUGGAAGUAUUUCACAGAGAAGUUUUCAUCGUCUGCAGGGAGAAAAAGAGAAAAACAGUCACCGUCAUGGAGUUGAAAAGCUUUCACCUGUCAUGAAGCAUGUUGGUUUGGUAAGUAACAAUUAAAGGCAGAUGCAGCCUGGAAUACAUAUGUAUAUUUAUUCCAAUAUGUAUAAGUUCACAAGGCAAAACUAGAGACCUAUGAAACUAAAUAAAUCUAUUUAUUUUACAAAAGUACAUAAUUAACGGCAUGAGACCAUUUGAACAGUCAUUGGCACACGUUCCAAGCAAGUAACUCAUCAUAUUAGUGAGAGAUGUUGAGUCAGGAUCAAAUCAAAUCUUUUAAUUUCAAUUUUUAUUGUUUUCAAAUAAUGAAAAUGUCACCACAUGAGACAUCAUACACCUCACCACUGAUUCCUGUACUCUCAGCCACAUCUUACAGCUCUCUGAGUCAUCCGUCUAAUCUCAUUACUAGUUUCGAAAAUCUGUAAACAAUUCUAGUCGGUUUUGUUGGCUAAAAUAAAAGUGGUUGAAAGCUCUGAAAAAAACUCAGAGUAUCAUAAAUUGGGGUUUAUUCUCCCAGAUUGAUUAAAACAAAGGAAAAAAAAGCAAACCCCAAUUUUCAGUCUGUUUUAAAAUCUGUGGACAAGCUGCUGAGGCCCAUUACAGGUACAUAAUUCUUACUCGAAGCUAGUAAGCUAAGAUAACUUAAAGGAUUGAUGAACUCCAGUAAAAACCAACUAUUUUCAUAAAGGAAUACAACAAAAUAUGAUUCAAAAUGUGCAUUAAAGUUUGGAGGAGUGCUAACGGACAUACUGCCACUUGCCAACGCCCUUCUGACUCUGUUGCUCUCUCAAAUGCACAAACAUGCCAGUGGUGUUGAUCUUCUCAUCUGAUACUUUUUGUUGGAGCUAAAAGGUACAUGUGUAAAUAAACUUGGCUCUCACCCUUCACACUUCCCUGUGGGCUCAGAGGAGGAUGAAAUUUCUUUGACAGCACCUUGAUCGUCGCUCCAUCAAGGACCUAAAAAAAUGUAUUAAUAAAAAACAACGCAUGAAGAAAAAUGACAUUUCAUUGUUUAUCACACACAUCAUGUCCUUGAAUCUCUUUUACUCUUUUCUUGACUCUCAUGAAAGUAAGACACACCUAUAAACCCUCCAAUUUAUGACAUUUCCAAACAAUCAUUUUCACUCUCAUGCAGAUUAAUAAAACUUUGCAUCCGCUGUCAAUGACACGUGCCUAAAUGCUCUAAAUUUAAGUCUGCUGUUGCCUGCAGGAAAUGGUGCGUCAAAAUAAGAUGGUGGGUGAUUUCACAGUUAUUGAUAAUAUCUCAUUUGAAGAAGUGUACAAAAAUUCUUGCAAUCAGUUUUACUUGCAGGAGUUGGUGCCAGCUUGUUUGCUAAUUCGUGUCAUGUUUUCAAAAAGUAGUUUUUAACAGUUUUUUGUCCUUGGGUGGAGACAGCAACAACAAAACUGAAAACAAGAGGGAGUCCUGUCCACGUGUUGUUGGUUUGAUACAAGCGUCUCUGUUGGUUUCACCUCAGCAGUAUCAUUAUUUCAGAGGACAGGUGGCUGUCACGCCACAGACAGCUUUUCGAGUUUUCACAUGAGAGUAUUUGAGUAAGUAGCUGUCAACUCAUCACCACAAACACAGCCUUCUCUAUCAGCUCGGUUUGCUAACCUUGUAAUGCUUGAGGGUGUUGAGCAUCAUCACUUGCCCGAUAACCUCUGAGCUUGAAUCCACUUCCUCAAGGGGAACAAAUGAUCCGUCCUUCUCAAACUCUGGUGGGAAAAAAAGAGAGUAAGGCGCGGUAAAGAGCGUGAUGAAAGGAGAAAAAAGUGGACAAACAACAAACACGAUACAAACAGCACGGAUAACAGAGCUAAAUACAAACAACACAACAAACAGAACAGCAGUGGUUCCCAAACUUUUCCUCCCAUCGUACCCCCUUUUUGAGGAUAAAAAAUACGGUUAACAAUUUGUACAAUGCGUUAUAAUCACAUUAUAGCACUAUAUAAAUAUAGUUAUAAACACUCAUAAUUGAUCAUAAUGCUUUAUAGCAGUAAUCAUAACACAUUAUAAAGCAUUUUAUCAUGAUUUACAAGGUCAGGUAUUAUGAUGUGUUAUGCUUAUUGUUAUAAAGCCUUAUGAUAAUUAGUGAGUGUUUUUAAUGAUAGUUAUACAAGUUUAUAAGCAAAUUAUAGCACAUCAUUAAUAUAUGUAUAAUGUAUUAUCCAUGUAGGCAUUGUCAGUGAGUUGUUAACAGUUAUAACACAUUAUACUACCUGACCUUGUAAGUCAUGAAAUAAUGCUUUAUAAUGUAUUAUGAUGCAUUAUGAUCAUUUAUGAGUGUUUAUAACUAUAGUUAUACAGUGCUAUAACGUGAUUGUAAUGCAUUAUACAUAUAUUAAUAAUGCGUUAUAGAGAUAGGUGUCAAGUUAAUGUUACCAAAAUAUGAACCUUAUGUGCAGCCUGUUGCUGUCAAACACAUACACACCCUCUUGACACCUCUACACUUUGGUGAUCGUGCCUCGGCUUGUAGAUGUCGGUGCAACGUCGCGAGCUUGAGACACUGCAGCCUCUUAGAAGUCCUCCUUACUCCCACUUACACUUUUCACACCUGGAGCUUGACUAAGAGCUAAACUACUUUCUGAGUAAUUAUUCAUUUUUAAAAAGUUUUGGACUCAACUUGCAAAAAAUAUCCAAAUUUGCCACGAGGAGUUACUCUUAAGACCAGGAGGUUUUAUGAAUAUGGCCACUUUAUGAGAAAUUAGUAUGAAGCAGUGAGUGUAAACAAACUCUAGCAGCUCACUGGUGUGACCUUGGUGUAAUGUUUCUCACUGUUUGGCUUGCUGAUGAUAGGGAUGAAGCAAAAUGCUAUUUAUUAUGCAAAAUACAAGGAGAAUAAAACCUCCAUGACUGAACACAUCAGCGCAGACAGAUUUUAGAGCAAGUGCCGUUGGUUAGAAAUCCCAAUCCAGUGUUAAAAUCAGCAGGACAAAAGCUAACUAGCUAACUAAUUGAGGUGACAGAUGACUAUAUUGUGAGGUGUUCAGGGUUGGGUCGGCAAAAGUUUAAAUGUAAACAUGAUUUGUUCAAAUGUCACGUCCAGAAAAAGAAAAAGAACAUUUUUGUGAGAAAUCGCCAUAAAUACAAAAGUUUGAAAGAAACCUCUAUAGUAGUAUCGAUAAGAAUGGAGAUCUUUAGCAUCAGUAUCGAUAAAAAUGAACGAUCCCCAUCGCUAGUUACAAGUCAAUAGUUCCCCAUUAUAUGUUACCCCUGCCUGAUGUGUCUCCACAACCCCCAGGGGAGGCGUAUCCACUCACUCUGGGAACCACAAACUUCUACACAGACAACAUAACCAACACAGAAAACCCAAUUUAGUACAGCACAACCAAUACAAGUCAUACAGACAACACAGAACCAGUUUGGACAACACAACCGAACACAGGAAGCAUAACCAAACCAGACAACCCAACUCGAUGCAGACAGAACACUCACAGGAAAAAAGUGCCAAAUACACACACGCAAAAUAAAAAGGAAACCAAUCACAGAUGAUGUAGCUAAAUCCAAUAAAAUGAUGAAAUACAAUAACACACUGAUAUUCAAUUCAGACAAAACAACCACACGGACAACAUAAUCAAAUAAGGACAGAACAAGCAGGCUGACAAGACGAAACACUUGACACAACCGAGCAACACAAAUGCUGCAAACACAACCAACCACAGAUGCUAAAUGCAGAUACAGAAACCAAACUUGUAUACUGACAACACAGCCAUACACAGACAGCAUAAGAGAGAAGACCACAGUGGAAGAAGACAACACAACCAAAAUACUGUCAGCACAACCACGAGGGACAACAACAACAACAGGCAGAUGAUCCUCACCGAUACAAACAUCCCUGAGCAGAGUGUUGUAGGGGAACCCAAACUUGGCCUUGAAGGUGGACAGGAUUUUCUCUUUGACUUGUUCUACUGAGUCACAGCUGAGCGCGCUGACCUCCAGAGGCUCGCUGACCUCCCCAUCGCUGCCCACUGCGAACAGCACUUUUAGCUUCUGCAGAACAACAUACACAAACAUCAACAACACCAACACGUCACUGUUUUUCCUUAUUUCUGGGGAUGUUUGCGUUAAGUCAACAGAAUAACGAAGUGUGUCCCAUUCAGUAGUUGGCUGUAACUUGGUCGCCCUCCACUAAGCAGAGCUGUUACUAUAGCUAACAGCUACCCCCCAUACUGCUUUAGCACCUUAAAACCCAGAUAUGGACCCAACACAAUGGACACACAGGAUUUUACAGUGCAUUGUUUAGUAAUAAUUUUAGGCAGUGUCAGAUUAAACUGACACAAAACCACCAAACCAGCACAAGCAUCUGGUCAGGGUAAACUGAAGGCUUGUGAUGCUAGCAUUUCCAACAUUAGCAACACUCACUAACCAAUAUGACAUUUUUGACUCGCAGACCCUGUGAUCUUGUGUAUAGCUCGGUUAAAUAAUCAUGCUGUGUUGUAUUUGUCAACUAAUCUGAUUUUUGAUAGCAGUUUACCAACUGGGAAAUCUAUUGCAAAAACACACAGGUGUUCCACAGGGCUUGUUACUAGAUCCUUUUAAAUUCUUAGUAAAUAAUGACUAGCAAGUAACAUUAAAGUAAGCUCCUUCUUUAUGCCAAAAAUACAAAUAUUUUUAUUACAGAUUAAUAUGAACACAAGCUGAUAGCCUGCUUUAACCAGGGUUCCUACACAGUUGGAAUUUCCAUACUUUUCCAUUCCCUACUUUUUAGAAUUAUUUUUUGGAAAUACCUAAUUUGCUAUGUUAGAAAACUGUUUUUUAUAACUGUGGUAAUACAGUCUGUUAACAUGAAUAUUUUUCCUUACCUUACUUUUUAUUUACCAUACUUUUUGAGACCUAGAAAUUGAUCAAAUUACUGUCAUACUUUUCCACACUUUCCAUACUUGCGUAGGAACUCUGUAAUAGUGUUUUUGAUAGUGUUGAUUGAUAAUAGUGAAUUAUCUCAAAAUUAAACAAAGAAACUAUAUGAUCUUCAAGCCAGCUGUCAUGGCUAAUGAUGCACUUGAAAAUGUUUCCUACAAAUGUUGUUUGUAAUUGCUGAUGAUGAGCUCAACAUGAAAAAACAAUUAUCCUGUUGUAUCCUAUCAUUUCUCCUAUUUUAUGUAUCAUAUUGUGAUUUAUGUAUCCAAUAGAGUAACAAAAAAGUUUGGGAUUUUACAGAGACACGUCUUUUCAAGAAACAACUUAGUGGAUUUUUGGGGUUUUUACAUAAUUAGGGGACACAAUUUGAACAACUAUCUCUGGAUCUCUGGAUAAUGUAUUAUCAGCAUCCAUCUUGUCUCCUUUCUGCCCUUUUGUGGUUUAUGCCUGCACUAACUAAUGGAUCUGAUUGAGAGGUUAAGUGAGAUACUGGUUUGUAAUAUUAGAUUAAACGUCAGGCUUCUGUUGCUUUGCUCACAGAAGGAAAUGUCACAGACGGAGGAACACAGAGUGCUAAAGAUGCAAGGAAGUGAUACUUCAGAGGAGUGUACAGCGUUUAGAAGAUUUAUCAGUGAUGUCGACUUGAAAAUAUUUCCAGUUUUUGUGCUUUAAAUGUGCCUUUUUAUUUGUUUCAUUACAAAUUUGAAGGACUUAGUAUGAUAUUGUUUUCAGGUAUGACACAAAGAGAGAGUUUAUAAAUGUCUGGCUGUGUAUAAACAACUUUUAUGCCAUGUCACAAAGGUAUGUAGCUAAUCUACUGCCAACUGUUUAUCUCAUCAGAUACUAACGAAGGUUGAAUCUUCUUUUUGGGAGAAAAGCAUUCUCAAAAGCUUGGUACAAUAAGUACAACAACAACAAAAUCCUAUCAUCAGAUACUUGAAUAUUAGAAGUUAUACCAAGAUGACAAAAAUGUGUUGCAAGAAGAACAUAAUCUUUUUCUGUUGAGCCCUGCCCAAAACAAAAACGGAAACACAAGCAGAAAAAAAAAAGUUCCAACUUCCUAUAAGAGAAAAUAUUUGUCAAGAUCUUCUGGUUUAUUGUAUCAAACACUUCACCUCCUGUUUUGCAUUAUCUGGUCUAUGAAUCAGUUCCGCUGACUGUUCCUUUAACCCAUAUUUUGGUUAAUAAUACUGAAGUGAAACUCUGACAUCAGUCCCAUAUGAUUGACUUUAGUAAUUGUUGCUCACAGCUUCACAGCCACGCCCAAAAAACUUAGAACAAAAUGAACUUGUGCUGAAGUUUGGGGUCUCUGUAAAAACAGGUAAAAGUCUUCUGGACAAUCAAAGUCUAAAGUACACAUCUACACACUUAGCUCUGCUGUUGAUUUCACUUUUAAAUCCCGAGGCGGCUAUCACUGUUAAAUUACAGCCGCCCCCUGAUUAAAUGGAUGUGCUGACUGGUUCUCAACAAACAGCUGGUCACCUGAGACCUGACAGUCACUUUCUUAAUCAUUUUGCCUGAUAUUUAUAGUGCUGCACAACCUCAACUUCCUGGUUGUUGAUGACAACAGGAACAAUGACUUUGAGGUUUUCUAUGAAAUAAACGUUCAUUUCUUGUUCCUUGAAUCUGUCAAAUGUUGACACCCGGUACAGACGACCUGUGCCAGUUGGUAAAUUCUGUUAUUACACCACGCCACACCACAGAUUGGACAAACCAACCCAUGUGGUAAUCCAGUGGGGGUGUGGCAUACCAGUUAGAUUAGAUAAUUCUGUGGUUGAGUCUCUCUAUAGCAGUGAUGACCCAGAUCAUUACAUGGCUUUGGUCACGUUCACCAGCAGGUCUGUUCUGAACUAACUGCUGUCCUUGUUCAUACCAACUGUCUCUCCACUUGCUCAUAUUUCCUGUAACAGUUAACAGUUCGUAGACAUUUAAACAGUAAAAACUCAAAAUUAAGCAAUUUUUUUGUGUGUUUUCCUGGUAAAAAUGAACCAUUACACGUCAUAUCAGCCAAAUAGCUCAUGUGACAAGUUCAGUUAAACGGAAAAUUGGUUUGCAAUGUUUACUUGUAACCAACACAUUAUUCUCACUAUUCUCAUAAAAAAACCUGAUUAAAUUUGCUCACCCUAUUUUAAUUAUUAAAGCCCUGGUAGGGAUCCUUUAGUUUGUGUCAACUUUGGCGCCCCCUGUGGACAAAGCCGUUACUGCUCAUGUUAACCAAUAUAUACUUGGGUAGUGCUUUCUGACUUUUGGCGGUCAAAUUGAUCAGCUAUUGUGAAUAUUUGAUACAAAAAAUAUAGUAAUAGGGCUGUUUCUGCAGCUGCUUGUACCGGUUUCAGGUACUUAAAAAUUACAACAUAAAAAUCUUCAGUCUUGUUUACUUUUCUAGUCAUUAAAAGGCGUCAGUAUGAAUUUCAGUCAAGUUCAUACACAUCAAGAACUCUUUGUAGGAAAAUUUCUAUCAAUUCUUUUUUAUUUUUCUGUUUAUGGUUGCAACUACUGAUUUAUUUUUUCUUUUGAGCUUUUAUUUUUUUUAGUGUAUGUUAGUGCUUUUGUAACUUAGUAAUAUUUUAUUUAACUUUAUUUCCUACUUUGAUUGUACAGCACUUUAGUCAUUGUGAAAUACUCUAACAUGCACCUCAUAAACUGACUUGAUUCGGAAACAUUUGCAUGCUUUCAUUUUCUUUCAUUUCUACUCAGCUCUGAGCAUUGAGGUGUGGUUAGAGACCGCCUGUUUCUGCAUUCUGUGGUUUUCUUUAAUUUGUUUUUUUAACAGGAAAAUGCCGUGUUGCUUUACUUCCUUGAGUAAAGAGCUUUUUUAAGACUCUGACUGCGAGUAGCUGGUUCCUCAAACAGGUUGUAGUGUUGUUUAAGAUGAAGGUGUUUCUCCUCAUCAGAAUCGGUACAUAAAUCUGAUUGCAUUUCAUAGUUUCUCCUGUGAGAAACUGAGAAUUACUUUCCUCUUAAGGCCAAUGAGCUGUUGUGGUUGAGCAAAAUGCCCAUCUGUAAAGGCUCAGUUAUGGUCCAACUUGUACCCUUCUUGCACCUGAAGCCACAUCUUGUUGCCACAACAAAAAUCUUCCUCUCUCAUUUUGAGUCUUGAGCGUGACAUUCAGCCACUUCCUGCCAGCAGGAUGGUGUUUUUUUCAUUUUUUACUUCUGUUACAAGCCUUCCGCUAGUUGAUAAAAAAAGUCAAAAAAACCUUUUUUGAUUUCACCUCAUCAAGAUCUGUCUUUAUCUUGCAGUCUUUGACAAUCCGGCCUGUUUUGUCAGUGUGCUUUAGAAACCUUUUCUGAGCUAUUGCCAGGAAAUCAGUUUGGUAAUCUGUGGUAAACAUAGCUGUGUCAAGCCCGUCAAAGCUGAGCUGUUGCAUGUUAAAAAGGUCUUAAAAUACAUGGAAGAGGAAGUGGUUCAAUACCAACCGCUGUUCCCUUGACAAGCUGUCUCUGUAUGCUCUGUGGCUGACAACCAACUUACACACAAUGAGGAUGUUGUCCAAUCAAUUCAUAGCCGCGCUGGAUCGCUCACAUAUAGAAGAACUGCCUCACAACUUCCAUCAUUAAUAUCUCAGUGCUUCACAGAGAUAUUAGACAUUUACAGAUUAAGGUAAUAAGUAAAUAAAAUGGAAUCUUAGUAUACUUUUCUCUUUUCGAAAACAGAGCUAGGAUCUAUUGACGGUUUCCUCAAUUUGUGAUCUUAAGAUAUUUGUUAGUAUCUACAUGACUACACCCAUCUCAGGACCCAUCAGCUAUCCUUUAAGAAAAACAGUGUGUGUCUCUGGGAAUGAGGACAACGUCUCUACUUCUGGUAAAUGUUAAUUGAACUCCCCGCCUUCUCUUUUGACCACUCAAAGCGCUUUCGCGCCACAUGUCACAAUCACCCAUUCACACACUGAUGACAGAGGCUGCUAUGCAUAGAGUCCAUCAGUGUUUUAACUAAUACCAUUCACACACCACCCGACACAGCCAGCGGGGGCAGGUGGGCUUAAGUGCUUCGCCCAAGGACACUUUGGCAUGCGGACCGAGCCACAGCUGCCUCUUUCUUUCUGGUGUGGUCAGCAAUAAAUGACUUCAAGCUGCUUAGCUUUUCUUUGUGCAGCGCAUUGGUCACAGUUUAGACUGCAGUUUGUGUUCAGAUCACGGGCAACGUAUCAGUAAUAUUGUGAUUUCUUGGCUUGCUUAUAUCCUUUGAUUGAGUGAGUGCCCAUCUGCCUCAUACACAGCUCAUUUUAAUAGUAUAACCUCUACAGCUGACAGGUUUUUACUUUGAAAUGUUGAAUACUUUGAGUUGUUUCAUGUAGUUUCCCCUGUUUAUAUAGAUGUUUUCUCCUGUUUGGACUCUAGCUUUCCCUGAAUAUGCAGUCUGCUUCUGUGUGCGAGGGCCUGCGAUGUAAAGUAUGGGUGUUUUUGUUUGUGUGUGUGUGUGUACCAGGGAAGUGAAGUCCGGAGCCUGCCACAGCAGCCAGUCCUCGCUGAGCGUGUAAAGAGCCUUCUCUGUCACACUGUCCACAGGUCCUUUGGCAGUCUGCUGUGUCAGAGCGCUAACCAUCAGGAACAGGUGCUGGCCAACAGUUUCCUGUGCAAAAUCAGAAACAGGAACAGAGUCAGACAAAAAAGGGGGUUGUUCCCUCUGUGGCACCGAGGAAGUUGUUUUAUGAACUUAACGUUCUGUUUUUGCUUCAUUCAAGACAACUGCCCUGAAUUGUUUUUUUAAACACAUGGAACAAAGGUUUUAGUAAAAACAAAGAAAAGGUUUCAGUCUGUGUCCAUGUGACACAAUACAGCAGAGAGCUAAACGGAAACUCGACUGAGGACUUAAUAGAGGUGACAAGAGAAAGUUCUCGGAAUGUGUGAUGGCUGUGGGGAGUUUGUUACCAUGGCAAUGUUUCCUUUAGACGAUCCCUCAUUAGCCAUGACAUUAAAAAUAAACAGCAUGUGGUUUACCAAAAGGCUAGACAAAAAUACAGAAAGAGAAACUAAAGUGGACUGUCUGAGUUACAUGUCACUUGUUAUUGUACAAGCCACAAUUAUAUCAGGGUGUUAGGUAUACGACUGCCACUAACUUUGGGAGACCCUUAUCUGAGCUGUUACUUCAGUUUAAUCGUACACUCCACCCAGAAAAUUUUCAGCCCUUAACUUUGCCAUCAGAAAGACAAUUUAUUCAGCACAGACUUGCUCUUUCGCAUGCAGGCUUCCUAAAGACAAAGAUACGACCAAAUCAAACCAUUAAUGAUUCUGACAUCUUUGUGAAUCUGAGUUUACAGAGGACGAUGACGACUCGAUGCACCGAAAGGAAAAGCGGACAAACAGGAGAGGUGACAAUAAAGCUCUGGAUCUCCAGUCCACUGACGUCGUAUAGACUGC